UGGUGCCUACGGGAGGCAGCAGUGAGGAAUAUUGGUCAAUGGGCGGGAGCCUGAACCAGCCAAGCCGCGUGAGGGAAGAAGGUACAGCGUAUCGUAAACCUCUUUUGUCAGGGAACAAAGGCGGGGACUAGUCCCCGGAUGAGGGUACCUGAAGAAAAAGCAUCGGCUAACUCCGUGCCAGCAGCCGCGGUAAUACGUAGGUGGCAAGCGUUAUCCGGAUUUAUUGGGCGUAAAGGGAACGCAGGCGGUCUUUUAAGUCUGAU
rnacentral:rRNA from 1 species